CUACGGGCUGCAGCAGUGGGGAAUAUUGCACAAUGGAGGGAACUCUGAUGCAGCAACGCCGCGUGGAGGAUGACACAUUUCGGUGCGUAAACUCCUUUUAUAUAAGAAGAUAAUGACGGUAUUAUAUGAAUAAGCACCGGCUAACUCCGUGCCAGCAGCCGCGGUAAUACGGGGGGUGCAAGCGUUACUCGGAAUCACUGGGCGUAAAGAGCAUGUAGGCUGGUUUGUAAGUUGGAAGUGAAAUCCUAUGGCUUAACCAUAGAACUGCUUCCAAAACUACUUACCUAGAGUAUGGGAGAGGUAGAUGGAAUUUCUGGUGUAGGGGUAAAAUCCGUAGAGAUCAGAAGGAAUACCGAUUGCGAAGGCGAUCUACUGGAACAUUACUGACGCUCAGAUGCGAAAGCGUGGGGAGCAAACAGGAUUAGAUACCCUCGUAGUC
rnacentral:rRNA from 1 species